UACAGAGACUGCAAGCGUUAUUCGGAUUCACUGGGCGUAAAGGGUGCGCAGGCGGUUGGGCGUGUCAGAUGUGAAAUCCCGAGGCUUAACCUCGGAACUGCGUCUGAAACUACUCGACUAGAGUACUGGAGAGGGAAACGGAAUUCACGGUGUAGCAGUGAAAUGCGUAGAUAUCGUGAGGAACACCAGAGGCGAAGGCGGUUUCCUGGACAGUUACUGACGCUCAGGCACGAAAGCAUGGGGAGCAAAAGGG
rnacentral:rRNA from 1 species